CAAACCAAAGCUGGCGACCGGCGCACGGGUGAGUAACACGUAUCCAACCUGCCUCAUACUCGGGGAUAGCCUUUCGAAAGAAAGAUUAAUAUCCGAUAGCAUAUAUUUCCCGCAUGGGUUUUAUAUUAAAGAAAUUCGGUAUGAGAUGGGGAUGCGUUCCAUUAGUUUGUUGGGGGGGUAACGGCCCGCCAAGACUACGAUGGAUAGGGGUUCUGAGAGGAAGGUCCCCCACAUUGGAACUGAGACACGGUCCAA
rnacentral:rRNA from 1 species